rnacentral:rRNA from 1 species
AGGACGAACGCUGGCGGCGUGCUUAACACAUGCAAGUCACGGGGGUCCCGCAAGGGAUAACCGGCGAACGGGUGCGUAACACGUGAACAACCUGCCCUCGUGUGGGGGAUAGCCGGGCUAACGCCCGGGUAAUACCGCAUACGUUCUCUUUGGGGAGUCCCGAGGAGAGGAAAGCUCCGGCGCACGGGGAGGGUUCGCGGCCUAUCAGCUAGUUGGCGGGGUAAUGGCCCACCAAGGCGACGACGGGUAGCUGGUCUGAGAGGAUGGCCAGCCACA